UUUUGCAGAUUCUCAGGAUGAUGGAGUGAGUGAUGGAAUAGGUUGCCAACUGUAGUUACUCCACUCAGCACAGAAUGGCUGCGGGGAAAUAUAAUCAGACAUGCCCAAAGAAGUCUGCUUAGGGUGAAACAAAUACCUUUGAGGUUUAAAUCAGGUGUGUAAAGAAUAUUGGAAACAUGACUUGUUUUGUUUUUGUUUUUGCAUUUGUGUUUGUCAAGAAAAGUAGAAAGGCUGAUGCUUCUUGCCUGUUUUUCCAACUCUUUUAAUGCAUUCAUUCAGAAACUACACGAUUUUUGUUGCUAUAUUUUGUUAGAAAGGAAGGAGAGACUGUUUCUACAGGUGUCAUACAAAAAUCAAUACUGAGCCAAGGAUUAUUGGAUCCCAUAGAACCACGGAGACUUGGUAGUGAAAUUCUUCCAAAGGUGAGUAGGGGCAUUGAUUUCCUUUCCCAUGCCUGCAGAAAUAUGACACAAUUAACAUUCCAUCCGUGCAGGCAGAUGGUGUUCCUAGGUUUGGAAAUAUAAAUCCCAUGGGAAGUCAGCUGAAGACCAUUUUAUGCAUCACUCAUCCUGUUAGAGCCCUGUGCUGUUCUGUCUCUCUAUAAGACUGGCUGAAACCACCACGGUUGUUUACAAUUUAUGCUCUAACUUUGGAUCACCUAGUUAAUACUCUAACUCCGAUUAUUACCAAAGACAAUGUUCUAUAAAAGAUAUUGUCUAUUAGAAGGAUGCUUCUGCAUUAUUAAUAAAAUCACAGGGAAAAUGCAACAUUUUGGAUGUCACAUCUGAUAAGGU
rnacentral:lncRNA from 10 species